rnacentral:tRNA from 1 species
GCGCCCGUAACUCAAUUGGAUAGAGCGUCCGGCUACGGACCGGGAGGUUCGGGGUUCGAGUCCCUGCGGGCGUGCCA